GGGAUUGCCUCAGUAACGGCGAGCGAAGCGGCAAGAGCUCAGAUUUGAAAUCCGGCCUUCGGGUCAGAGUUGUAAUCUGUAGGGGAUGCUUCGGGACCGUCGCCGGCCUAAGUUCCUUGGAACAGGACGUCGCAGAGGGUGAGAAUCCCGUAUGCGGCCGGAUCGACCAACCGUGUGAAGCUCCUCCGACGAGUCGAGUUGUUUGGGAAUGCAGCUCUAAAUGGGAGGUAAAUUUCUUCUAAAGCUAAAUACUGGCCAGAGACCGAUAGCGCACAAGUAGAGUGAUCGAAAGAUGAAAAGCACUUUGGAAAGAGAGUUAAAAAGUACGUGAAAUUGUUGAAAGGGAAGCGCUUGCGACCAGACUCGACCGUUGCGGAUCACCCCUCCCCGCGGAGGGCUCACUCCGCCUCGGUCGGGCCAGCAUCGGUUCCGGCGGUCGGAUAAAGGCUUCGGGAAUGUGGCUCCUCUUGGGGAGUGUUAUAGCCCGUUGCGCAAUACGGCCUGCCGGGACCGAGGACCGCGCUCCGGCAAGGAUGCUGGCGUAAUGGUCGUAAGCGGCCCGUCUUGAAACACGGACCAAGGAGUAGAGCACUUAUGCGAGUGUUUGGGUGUCAAACCCCUACGCGUAAUGAAAGUGAACGGAGGUCGGAGCCCUCGGGCGCACGAUCGACCGAUCCUGAUGUCUUCGGAUGGAUUUGAGUAAGAGCAUAAGUGUUCUGACCCGAAAGAUGUGCGAGCUAUACUUGAGUAGGCCGAAGCCAGCGGAAACGCUGGUGGAGGGUCGCAGCGGUUCUGACGUGCAAAUCGAUCGUCAAACUUGGGUAUAGGGGCGAAAGACUAAUCGAGCCAUCUAGUAGCUGGUUCCUGCCGAAGUUUCCCUUAGGAUAGCAGUAACGUUUUCAGUUUUAUGAGGUAAAGCGAAUGAUUAGAGGCCUGGGGGUUGAAACAACCUUCACCUAUUCUCAACUUUAAAUAUUUAGAAGCCCUUUUUCUUAUUGAAC
rnacentral:rRNA from 1 species